GUUCAACAGACAAAGUAAGGAUGAAUAAAGUUUUGUCCUGCCACUGCUAUCCUUCCUCAGUUUGAAUCUCCCCUGCUCUGAUUUUCUCUACACUUGAAUUUCCCAGCCACCUUCCCCAAGAGAAGCAGAGAGAAAUAAAUAUGAACUUUAGAUAUAGGAUGAGAUUCUGGCAUGAAAUCAGGUAGACAGCCCAACUUUAUCAGGUGUUAUUGUUCUGCAUAGGUUACAGAACUCUAACAUCUAGACUGAAAGUCCUAAUAGUUUCUUUAAGUCACAUUGUAGAAGGCUGUUUGUAACAUAUAAUCAGCCUGCUAAUAUAUUGCCCAAUGUUAAACAAUUUGCUAUUGAUACUGAUUACAACCUUAUUUCCCUUCUAGGGUAGGAAAUCAGAGAAACAGCCUCUGUCUUCCAUUUUAUAUUUGUUAUUUGCUGCAUUAUCCAGACACAUUUGAGCCUGGACCAUGAAGGAACAAUUUCUAGGUUUGAUAUGUUUGUGUUUAUCGUGUGUACAUAUUGUUUUUGUGUGGUUUGAAUUUCCACUCAGUAACUUUGAUAUGCUGAGGAUGGUGCUGUAUUCUGCACACAUGGUAGCUCACUGAAAAUAGGAUAACAAUUGCGAGUAGAAGCAAAAUGGCUUUAUUUUGCAGGCAUUCUGUUCAAUUAUUUAGUCACAGACGAAAAGAGCCUUGACACUGGUGUGUGGUUGAUAUUUAAUAUGGAGUUAGGCUUUAGAAGAGGAAAUGAUGUACAUGUUUUCACUGAUCAUUCUUCUGUUUUGUUUGCUGGUGUAGGAUUACAUCGCUGGGAGGGAUAGAAUCCAACACAUGGAAAGCAAAAGACAGUAGACAACCUGGCAGGGACAGGGAAGUGAAACCAUGGAAUUAGCAAGGAUGAAGUGAUACUGCUGUUCUGAGCAAGGUUUGCACAUUCAGAAGUACAUUUGGAAAUUAAGAAACUUUGAUGAAAAUAUCAAUUUCAUCAAAGAAAAUCUGGUGACUGGAGCCUUCCCCUUAAAAAAGAGAGGCAGAAAACCCCCAAAAACCUAUAAGGGGAGGGGGGAAAUCCUGCACCCUGAUUUAAAAUAAAAAUUGGAAAGGGCAGGGUGGGUUUGGCAGGUGCCAAACAGUAGCAGAUAGCAUGGAGUGGCACUGCUGCUCAUCUGAACUCUUGUUGGUCACAUCAUUGCUGCUUGCUUACCAGGAGGGGGCAGGGGCAGUGAAGUCAGCAUCAUGUAAGGGCCCUGAUGGAGGUCAGGUGAGUAGCAGCACCCCACCAUCCACUACUGGCACCAAGGAAAGCUUUUGAGGGCACUGCUGUGCCCACAAGCACCAUGUUGGUCAACCCAGGUUUCAUGGAUCUCAGAAAGGGAGCAGAAUGCAGAUGGGCAAAGAUAGACAGUCUUUCAACAUGCAGUAUAUCACGUCAAAACGUUAAACUGGAAAUGAGUACAUCAAGCAACGUUGAGCAGUGACGGUUUAGUUCUGGACAUAAGAGACAGUUCCGUGCGAUUCAAACAGGCUCCAUUGCAUGCCUCUUUCCAUUCAGGACAAAAAUCUGUUUCUUUUCCUUUCUGGAAGCUAUCACCCUGCCCUUAUUCUUGCCACUUACAGUUCUGCAAGAAGCAGAACCUAUGAUACCUGGACCAGCAAUGGAGUCCAUAGGCUUCUGUGGCAUGUAGAAUCUCUUUUCUCUCUGCCUUCCAAUGCCAUUGCAUCACCCUGCCGCUAUCUGAGAUUCUUGCAGGAAUCAAACGUCCACCAAUAGUCUCCCAACAGACCAGCUAUCUCUUGACUGCUGUUCACUCUCACUCUUCCUGUGGCACUCUGGACGGUGUUUUCUUCGUUAGAGGUGCAUCUCUUAACAGAAAGGGAGAGAGCUUUCUUGCCAGUAUUGUCCUGGUUGUGUACUACCCACUCAAAAGCGCAUUAUUGUUAUUUUGGGUCAUUCAGGAUUGGGACACAGCUUUCAGCACGAGUCGUGUUUGUGGGAGGAAAAGGUCUCUCUUUUGGAAGUUUGCUCUGCUGAGACUAUUUGCCCUUUAAAUAUUUCCCUGGGUGUAUUUAACUGCAACCCACAAUGACGCCUAAGAAUAAAAGAGUGAAAUGUAGCUGUGUGACAGGAAGCGGGCAGAACGCAGACGAGAAGUGGUUGGAUACAUUGGUGAGAGACAUGUGGAACGUAUUCUGCCCCUGGAUUGUCUGUCUGUGGCAAGCAAGCAAAUCUCUGCUAUUAAUUGUUACUUGUAUCGCUCAGUGGGAAGGCUAUCACUGAAAGGACCAGGGUGGAAAUUUUACUCAUAUCUCAAUGAAGCAGGCUUUAUACUUGAUGAUUCUCCCCGUCAACCAAUUAUGAAAAGCAAAUUGUAAAAACACAAUGGAAGAUAAAGACCUGAACUCAUGCUGGCGAAAAUAAUACCCAGUCGACUUGGACUGGAGGCAGAUGAUUAUGCAUCUCUGCCAUUAGCUUCAAAGAUGAGAGAGAUUCAACUAACCGCUUAAUCUGAUUUCAUGAAUGAGAACUUUAGCUCCAGCACUUCCCUUCCACUGCCUCUUCAGCGUCAUAAUAGCCUGCAGGCAGCUGUUGCUUGUUGCUUCUUUCUUCCUUUCUUCCAUUCUUCCUUUCUCAUUUUAUGCAACACAAAUGGGGGGAGACUAUUAUGCUUCCCCCCCUCUUAAAAUUGGUUUUUGUUAAGGGGUGGGGGUGAGGAAGACUCACAGACAAAGAAACUGCCUAUUAAACACUCAUUAUUACAAUCAAACAGGAUUACACUGUGAACGGUCGGAGUCCUAUUGGAUUUUUGAUGACAACUACAUGCCAGCCCAGUAGUAGUGAUGCUAACUCCCAGCUUGAGGAAACAGGCAAGUGGACAUCCUCCUAUGGAGCCCGUCAAACAUAAUGUAGUGCAAAACAGUGAGGGUGGAAUAAAACAGGGAAAAUGUGUGGCUCUCAGGAGCGAACAUAAACUGUCAACAAGAGCAUCUCAGACUGUGCAAGUACUUCUGCUGAAAGAACCAGUCAUUCUAGAACCUAGGAAACACCGCACAUCAGUCCCCAAAUCUUGACCCUUCCAGCAUAUUUUGAACUGGGCUUGUACAUGUAUGAACAGUUGUGCUGGCACUUACAAAUUUUACAUACAUCUUCUUCACAGGAAGUUCUAGCUCCCUCUUCUCUCUCUGGUUCUCCUCUGAGCUCCCUGGCGGAUAGGGUGAUCAGUUUCUGGCAUCCCUUACCAGAAUUUCUCAGAGUGAUAGAAUAGACCUCCAUUUGUCUCCCACUGAGACAACACAACAGGAGAUAGAUAACUGCUCAGAAAAGAAAAUCUCAUGUGUGUCUCCUGACAGAGCAAUAGAAGCCAGGGAGAUCAGAGGUAGCACUUAUACCUCUGAUUAUUUAGAUUCUCCUUUGGUAUUCACAUGGAUCUCUAUUAUCCUGAAAUGAAAUCCAUGAUUUUUUGUUAUUCAUUGUGGGUGUUGUUUUUUAAUAGACAUGAAACAUGUAUGUGACAAUUAUUUUCUAUUUGCUUGACCCAGACAGGUUUGGGUCUGGACUGAUAUAUGCAUGGACAGUUACAAUGCUCCAUUCAAUCAGAAGUUAUGUUGCAGAUCUCUUUUAUGUUUAAGUUAGGAGCAUCUUGCUUCAUUAUUCUAGGGUGUGGGUGCAGAUUUCUGGUCUGUGGUUUUAGUUGUAAUUUUAAUAUUGUAUUGUAGAGUUGUAAUAUAAUGCUGCCUGAGAGGAAGGGCAAGAUAUUUUUUAAAAAAACAACAACAAAUAAACUAGCACCAGAAGAAAGUAGAAAGAAGCUACAAAACAACUCACAUCAGGGAAAAUAUAUGAGCAAAAGGGAGAGGAAAAUGAGAAAUCCAGUUGGGGAAUGCUUUUCAACCCUCCAGAAAGAAAGCAGACAUCUUUUCCAGGUUUAAUAUGAUAAAUUAAACUCAGAAGCUGAAGCCCAAUCUCUUCCUGCAAGCCACUGUUGCAUAAAAAAUGAGUGGGCAUUUGAUUCAGAUUCAGAUCCAGAUGAAUGGGAAAGGAAUGUGUUAAAAGCAAGGUGGCAAAUCCAGGGGGUUCCACCCUAAUCAAUAUCAGAGUAUCAUAAUCACAUCAUUUAGGGAGGGGAGGAAGACUGGAUGAUAGGAAACAACGUGCAGAACAGAGUUGUGAAAUGCAGGAGGGGGAAGCUGACAGUCAGAGAUGUACACUUAUGAGGAAGGAGAUUUGGGACUUAUUGUAAAAGAAUUCAUAAAGCCUUCACUCCAAAGUGCAGCUGCAGCAAAAGGAAAGAGGGAAAAGGGUCUGGGUUUUAUUGCUAUGAGAAAUACAAUAUCAGUCAAGGAGAGAUGUUUUCUUGCAAUGGAAGGCACUGUUGUUUAUUUGGUAUUGCUCUCUUCUAUAAUAAUAACAAUACAUCCACUCGUGGUAUGGGGCAGUGCAGACACAGAAGAGAUGCCAGAGCUUUAAAGAGUCAAAUAAGUUGCAUAUAUUCUUAUGAGGAAAGAAUAUCAGUGAAGAAAAUGAAAGAGCCAAUAAAAAUAAUCAAUAGUUUCUGAAAUACUAUCCUUAUAAGUAACCAUUCUAAAGUGGUAUACCUUAUAAGAAUAGCCCCGGAUGCAAGGUUUGUAAUAGAACACACUAGAAAUUAUAGAUUAAAAAAAAUGUUGGUUUAGAUUUCUACUCUCAUCUUGACGUGGUUCCAUUUCCUAAAAUAUCGGCAUGUAAGGCAUAGCAUAAGCAAAUGGAACAGUUGCUUCUGUGGACUGUGUGGGUCUGGAGUUAUAUCCCUUUGCCAAAAAGGAUGCAAUCACUCCAGCGGGGAUCCCUGCCCACGGUGUGAUGGUGGGCCAAAAAAAGAAGGAGGCCAGUGUGUGUGCUGCUGCUCUCCUCCUCUUGCGAUGGUGUGAGGAGGAACACCUGAAUACAGUGGUACCUCGGGUUGUUGUUGUUUAGUCGUUUAGUCUAAACUCCUCGCACAGGAGUUUGGCCCCGGAAGAUGGCACCCCAUUUUUUCAUUGUGACGUGUUGGAGGGUAAGUUUAUGGUGAUGCAUAUACGGCCAAUUGGUGGCCUGGUUCGCAUAUCAUGCCAAGCCAAACCAUGGCUUCGCAUGACUGUAUAAGCAUCCAGGUUCCAGAGGAGGCUGCUUCAUGGCUCCCUGCUUAUUUUGCUGGUGUGCGUAGCUGAACCAUAAGUUUCCCAAACCAGGCUUAUGGUUUAUCUCCCCUGGACAAACCACAAACCAUGAACCACUGGACAAACCUUGGUUACCGCUCAUGUUGUUGUUGUUUAGUCGUGUCCGACUCUUCGUGACCCCAUGGACCAGAGCACGCCAGGCACUCCUGUCUUCCACUGCUUCCCGCAGUUUGGUCAAACUCAUGCUGGUAGCUUCAAGAACACUGUCCAACCAUCUCGUCCUCUGUCGUCCCCUUCUCCUUGUGCCCUCCAUCUUUCCCAACAUCAGGGUCUUUUCCAGGGAGUCUUUUCUUCUCAUGAGGUGGCCAAAGUACUGGAGCCUCAGCUUCAGGAUCUGUCCUUCCAGUGAGCACUCAGGGCUGAUUUCCUUAAGAAUGGAUAGGUGUGAUCUUCUUGCAGUCCAUGGGACUCUCAAGAGACUCCUCCAGCACCAUAAUUCAAAAGCAUCAAUUCUUCGGCGAUCAGCCUUCUUUAUGGUCCAGCACUCACUUCCACACAUCACUAUUGGGAAAACGAUACAAUUGUCUGUGUAAUUAAGGUUUACUUCAGCACUGGAUGCUAAAGAGAUACUUAUUCUAUUCUAUUCUAUUUCUGCUGAAAUUAUUGAUAUGAAGAAACCCAAAACUUUCCAUCCUGCCCUCAGGUUAAUAUAUAAAAAUGCUGAUCAAGAGAAAGUAUUCCCCAGGCUCCUUGCUUCUUAUUUGUUAAUCAUUGCUCCUUAAAUUGAUUGUUUCCUUCAAGCAACAUCUAGACAGAAUACAUGCGACGGUUGAGUCUCACAUUACAAACCAGGAUAUAAGCUGCUGGCAGAAACAUGACAAACUGUGCAUUGUAUUCCUACACAAUGUAACACUUUGAAGAAAGGCGCCCCAGCUCUAUCUGAACUACCAAGAGUUUCUGUCAGAGCACUUCUCGGCACGUCUUUUCAUAAAGAAAGAACUCAGUGGUUGUGACUUGGGCAGUCUGAAGACCCAAACCUGAGAGGAUGUGCCACCUUCCUUUCAAGCUGCUUUUUAGUACUGUACCAGUUAACAUGAGCAAGCCUCACAAGUCUAUUUGAGGAUCUUAUGUUUCUCUUGCUCUGUUUUAUUGCUGUAGAGUUAGAACUCGGAGAGACGUCUUAUGCCGAGUGACUCAUUCUAUGCUCAGCCUGACUGAAUGGAGUUCAAGCAACUAAGCCUCCUUGCUGUGAAGGUGAGCCCAGCCCUGCCCUGGUGAAAAGGAAAUAAAUGCCUUUUUAUUCAGGCCAGACCUUCUUAAAUGAGGAGGAGGGUCUUCCCAAAUCACACGGUACCAUUGAAGCCCCAUGUUCUGUUUGGGUGAACCAGGAUAGCUGCAAAGGUCAUCUGUAUCCUACUCCCAGGUCCCAUAGCAGUGGGCCUCUGGAGACAUCCAUCACUUUUAAAGAUGCUUUGGGGGCCUCACCUAGAUGUCCUCACCUACCAUUUUCCUGCACCUCACUGCUAAAAGUGACUAACUGGGCUACUUAAGUGACCUGCCCACACUGACUGUGGCCUGUUUCUCAGUGCAAGGGAAAACCUGCCCACCAAGCCAAUUUGUGGACAGGCCAGAAAUUCCUGUUCAGCUGUUAAGAAAGCAUCUAGUCCUGUUCUGAGAUAGAUUGAGGGCCGGUGGGUAGCUCCAACAAGAACUGAAGAGGCCUACUGGGGGUGGAGUGGACACAAAGAGCCCCUUCUGGGUCCAUUCCCACCAGUGUUGAUGCAUCUGCACACCUUCAGCAACCAUCUGCCUUUUAUGUCAGCUGGAAGAAUGUUUGCAUUCAGAGCUCAGGACCAACAUUGCAACCUUUCCAAAGAGGUGCAGUGGCACUGCCUACUCUUCAACCUACUGCUGGAAAUAGUGUGUGUAGAAAACACGUUUCUUUAAAUAUUUUCAUUGAAUAGCAUCUGGUGCAGAUCUGUUGGUUUUUUUUAGGGCAAAUCAUAUACCAUUUUGCACUAUAAUGUCCACUGCCUCUGCAAUAGUACCUAAGUAUAUGGUCCAGAUUAUGUGGGGUGGGUAGCCGGCAUGAAGUGUAACCACAGCACACAGAAUACAUUUUACUGCUUUACAAUACUUCCUUGCUGCUUCAAACUAUGAUAUUCCUUUUUAAACCAUUUUUGUUAAUAACUAUUAUAGCUACAACAAAUGUUUGAUUAUUGCUAAUUCCUGAAAGCAAACACACUUACAUUGGCUAUGUAUGGGUCACUAUUAAUUCCCCAAAGCAAGCUAGAUAAUAGGGUCUACUGCAAGGCCUGCAUUUUCACACUUAAUAUACAUAUUUUAUGUACACACACACACACACACACACACACACACCAGCAGCUCACUGUAAUCUCUUGCAAUGAUUCCAAGAGUAGCACUGCUAAUUCUCCAAAAUUAAGUGUUCAAGCAGAUCUGGUAGCAACCUUGAGUAUUCUUCUAGUAGUUUAUUAACUCUAACAAUUUUCAGUCUGGUGUUUUGCUUUUUUAUAACAUAUAUUUCUUCUUGGUCUGCAGGUAGCCUUCUGGUAUUUCAACCGUCUCAAAAUUUAUACUCAAUCCCCCCUUCCCCCAAUUUUGAUUACAGUACUAUUAGGCCAUCCACCACACUCAAUUCAAGCUGAAAGAUCAAACUGCAAUACAGCUCAUAAUUUAGGUUAUGAUAGAGUGAGCAGACGACACCAAGCAGUAGAGCAGGAGGGACUAAUUUCGGGUGAAAUAAUGGAAGACGGGACUUGAAAAAUAUAUCAAACUGCUAAGCACCAGAAUCACAUUUUAAAGUGCUGGUCUUGUGCAGAAAUAUUGUGGGGCAGAAAGAGGGGUGACAGAAUUACUAGGUGCCGAUGUCAAAACUACAAGAAGUAGACAUGAUUAGUAUUUUACUGUACCUAAAUAAAUAAGUGUAUUAACUAAUUCUUUGCAGUUACGAUGCCGCCAUGCUCAUUUUGCUUAAAUGAAAAUCAGGAGCACACCUAAACUUAUCAGCCUUUUUUGUUCUAACAAAGUCUUCAUCACAGAUGACAAAUAAUGAGACUUGAUUGGAUUUAAUAAUAUUAUCCAUUCUAUUUUUUUCCAUCACACUUUGAUACCUGCAGAGCAGGCAGGCAUAUCCAUGACAACCUCAGUGCUUUGUUACAAUAAGGCAAGGGGUAUGCAUAGAUAAGUCUACAGAAUGAAAGGCAUGUAGGGACACAGAGCCAUUGUCGUGUUCCAGGAAAGCAGAUGACUGGAGCAAAGGCAAUGUCUGCAAUUAAAAGGUCUCGGCAAAUCAAGUAGGGAAUACCUUUGGAGAGAGGAGUAGGGGGAACAACCUCUUUUCCAGUUAAAAGUUAUCACUGCAGUCAGAUCACACGGCUGAACCUCAAAUGGGGAAAAACUCAAAUGAGGCGCCAAGAAGAAAUCCAACUGGAGAGAAGAAGGGAAAUAAAGCUUAAUAGCUGCCAAGAGAAGUCUGAAUAAGCAGGAUUAGUUUAAGCAAGUCAGAAAGUGAAACAAUGCAGCAGAGGUCCAGGGGAAGAAUCAAUAUUAUUUAAGGCAACCAGCUGGAUAAUAAGAAGCCACAGAUGGUUAGCUUUAAGGGCAGAACUGCAUGGAGAAAUUGGCUUCAGAUUAGAUAAAUUUCAGCACUUUUUGCCCUCCUGCACUAUGCUUAACUUGCCAGGGAUCUGUGGUCUACACUGGACUCUCCUACCAUAGUUUCCACAAAUGCAGGCCUGCAAAUUGAGGUCGUUUGGAAGAAUGACCAUGGUUUGGAAGGUGGUUGCAAUUUCAGCACACCACUCAGUAGGCAAAUCUUUAUCUCUUACAAUAGCCCAUAGAUAGAUAGGUUCUCCCCACCACCACUUUUGUAGUUUACCUGGGCUCGGUGUACAGUGGUACCUUGGGUUACAGAUGCUUCAGGUUACAGACUCCGCUAACCCAGAAAUAGUACCUCGGGUUAAGAACUUUGCUUCAGGAUGAGAACAGAAAUCACGUGGCGGCGGGGUGGCGGCAGUGGGAGGCCCCAUUAGCUAAAGUGGUGCUUCAGGUUAAGAACAGUUUCAGGAUAAGAACAGACCUCCAGAACAAAUUAAGUUCUUAACCCAAGGUACCACUGUAUCUAUUUUCAGAUAGCCUUUCCUGUGGAUUAAAAAAAACAAGGUUGCCUAAAGAAAUUUCAAAAGACAAGUUAAAUAGACCUGCUGGUAAUUGUUCAAAAUAGGGUACCGGCCACACCUCUUAUUUACAAUUGAUGUAUGUCUUUAUAUCAUCUGCAUAAAGCCGAUACAGGUCAGAAGCAGAGUCUUCUUAAAAGUAAGCCCCAUUGAGUGAGGUUUACAGCAGGAGUAGGGAACCUAUGGCUGUUCAGAUGUUACUGCACUCCGGCUCCCAUAGUCCCUGGCCACAGGAUUACUAACGGGGACUGCUGGGAGUUGGAGUCCAACAACAUACUAAGGGCCACACAUUCCCCACUCCUGAAUUACGGUCGCAGUGUUUGAACAACUAUUGCCUAUGAACAUGAAAGGUGUAUCUGAAGAAAGGUGUGGUUCGCGUCUCUGCUCCUCCACAUGCAGCUGCUGGGUGACCUUGGACUAGUCACACUUCCUGAAGUCUCUCAGCCCCACUCACCUCACAGAGUGUUUGUUGUGGGGGAGGAAGGGAAAGGAGAAUGUUAGCUGCUUUGAGACUCCUUUGGGUAGUGAUAAAGCGGGAUAACAAAUCCAAACUCUUCUUCUUCUUCUUCUUCUUCUUCUUCUUCUUCUUCUUCUUCUUAAUAGCUUCCUGCUUCCGACAUCGCCUGUGUAUGAAAAGUGUUUUAAGCAUCAUUAUUUUCAUGUGCAGUUUUCUGUAUUCAUUUCAACGUGGCUUUGAACGUAAGCAAAUAUCUGCCUAGGGUGCUCCUAGACUCAUCACUAUGCCUGGAAUGGCUGGCAGCCACCCAACGGUAUAUAAGGAGUGACAUUCUCAAAUCAGCCCAAUUAAAUAAUGCAUUGGCUGGCAUAUGACAGCUGAGCAUAUUUGUUUAUUAAAAAGCACAAACAUGCAGAGUUACCUCAACAAUGUUGCAUUUAGAUUAUUGUGCAGAACUGUAGAGAAGGGAAGCAGAUUAGUCCAAAUCUUUGAGGUAACUGAGAAUUCUAAACAUGUUUAUUUCCAUAAUGGAGGUUACAGUGAAAGAAAUGAGAACAUAAAAGGAUCAGGCCAACCUGGGCUGAUGUAAAUAACAAGCCAGACAGGUGGGGACUGGUUUAGGCCAGAGUUAGGUCAAUGGGCAGAGCCCCAUUCAUCUUAAUGGGCCAUCCUUCACUGGACUCAUCCUCAAUUAGCCUUACUGUGAAGCACUCGCAACUUCUUCCAGGUGGAAGCCAUCAACACCUUUCCAGUUGUGGGAGUUGUGUGGGUACCUUCCUGAGCUUGGUUAUAUUCUUGCUUUCUCAAUCUGUGCUGUAAUAUUUAGAUUCACCUGAACCAUGAUCAGAUUGUGAUGUCACUGUAAACAAGCUCUUAUAGGGUAAUUCAGUUGGUUGUAUUUAAAUAGUCCCGUAGUUGCUGGAAAAUUAGACCUCAUUUCUGGAUAGGAAGGAUUGAACAUUAUGCCACUUUCCUGGUCAGGGCAUCCUGUUCUGUCCAAAAGAGAAAUAAAUAAACAGAUCUUUAAUAACAUGCUUCAUUGUCUAUUCAUCAAGCAUAGAAGGCAAGACUGGAAGAAAGGAGAAAUAGAACACUGGGUGGCAGCGGGGAGAAAUUUUUUGUUCCAAAGCCUAGAGCAUUUAUUUUGGAGAAGCCAUUACUAUUUAUAAAGUGGUUUGCUUCGGCUUUAAAUGUAUAUUACAAAUAAGGCCCUGGUCUCUGGUAGGGGCUUUUCUGGUUAGGAGCAAUUUCUAGAACAAUAUAUUUAACAGUUUAUAUUGGGAAGAAUCUGAAUGUUUACUAGACGCAGGUGCAGGGAGCAAGUAAAGCCAAAAGCCUUUCAGACCAUUAAUUCUGGCUCAUAAACCUUUGCCAUUAUGCAAAAUGAUAAUAGAGACUAAUAGCAGUGAAGGAAAACAACGCACGUAAAAUAGAAAGAAUAAAAAAUUACAGUGGGUUUUAGAAGACUACCAAAGUACCAACCACAUAAAUCUAGACAGUGACAAUUUCAAGAAGUCACAAAAUGAUAACAACUAGUUUUAAGAUGGAAUUGGAUUGAGACUGGGUCGAAUAAUCACACACACACACACACACACACACACACACACCCCUACUUGGAACUACUAUAUGUCUCCUGAAAAACUGGCGGGAGGGGAAUAUCGGUGUCAUGGGAGAAAUCAAAUAACUUUUGAAUGUGGCUGGGGGGUGGUCUCUUUUUUUCAAACAACAACAAAAGAAACCAUUACAUUCAGGUGGUGGUUUGGAUGGCAUCAUUUGACCAGCACAGUUCACUUUGCAUUUUGGGAUGGGAUGCCACUGUGUGAUGAUGUAGCAUUUGUUCCUGGGAAAUUUUGCGAAGGGCAAGGGCACAGAUGGUCCCCCCCCCCCCGGCUAAUGUGGUUUAUUAGUUUUCCUGUUUCAUUUUGCAUAUAUUCCUCUCACCCCAUACUUCAAAAAGCCAAAGUUGUUCUUACGCUUUGCUUUCUUCCCAUGUUUUAUACCAGAGGGGACUAGCCUGUGGGCCUCCAGACAUUUUCACACUGCAUCUCCCAUUAGCCCCUGCCACCAGGGAACAUCUAGAAGUCCACAGGAUAGGGUCCCUUUCUUUAUUCCCAUGGAGAGCUAUAUUCCCUUUAGAUAUUUCUAAACUAUCUUAUCCUCUUCAAGGGAGCGUUUUCUUAGCAACUGUCUGUUUCACCAUGUGUUUUCUGCUUUAAAUAUUGUUCUAGAUCUGAGAUGGCUCAUUCACAUACAAGCCAAUAUUUGAUGCAGAAGUCACAUGUAUGGAAUAAUGCCUACUCAAUAACUUAAGCCAAUGGAACUUCAUGGUUUGGAGGAUUGCAGCCUUGGAAUUCAUUUUAGGUAUGGAGGCCCAUCUACCAGAUCAAAAUAUCAGGCAACCAACAAGAUGAAUGUUUCUACAGUCCAUGAUGUCUGACUUCCGUAACUAUUAUUAACUGUCCGCUGACUCUCAAACAGUUUAUAUCCAUUGUCAACAUUAUGUUUGACACCAGUGCUGCACUGUGAAAGGGGAAAUUGGCAAGUGGUUUUCAAUGUUUUAAGUGAUGUGCUAAAUAUCUAACUGAAUUUGAUAUUUCUGUAGACACUAAUGAGAACCUCUUGGGAAUUGCUUUUAUGAUGAUUUAAGAAGGCACUGGAGGGGCAUUUCAGUCUGAGAUAAACAACAAAAUACAAUCAUGCAGCUGAGCUGUGAACAUGGGUUAAUUACAUUCUUUUAAUGAGGAUUUUUUCACCUUGCUCUAUGUUAAUUAACCUUCUUAUUAUAUGCUCUUAUUGCUUUGAAGUUCAAUUCUGCAGUUGUAUGGGUUGCUGUUCCUUACAGUUAGAACCAUCAGCAUCCCAUCAAGAGCAAUGAUUCACCACUCAUCCAAACAGGUCUCAAGUGCACCUAUUCAGUGCAUCUGAUAGCUGCUGGACACCUGGAAGAUUUCUGUGGCACAAUGGGUCACUGCAUCUGGCUGUUAAUUAGAAAGUUGGUGGUUCAAGCCCACCCACAGGAUUGCAGGGGGUUGGACUAGAUGACCCUUGGUGUCCCUUCCAACUCUACUAUGAUUCAACUGAACACAUCUCUGCUCAGUUCACUCACCUAUCCACAAAGUAGAAAGGGGGCCUUGCUUUGCACAGCCCACAUAUGGGACUCAGCAACAGUGGUGUGCGGUCUGUGGACUAGGGGUACUAGGCUAGUCCUUUACAUGUUCCCAGUAAAUUAGAGUAUUAAAGUAUUAAUGCUUGGUGCCUUCUUCCCAAAGCCCAGGAAGCUUCUGCCCAGCUUAGGGAGGGACGUGCAGUGCUCAUGCAUGCAAUGUUGGGACAUCAUGCACACAACAUCAACCCCCUCGCCAAUUUCUCUUGUAAGGUGGUGCCUCAGGCCCUAAAUGUUCCCCUACGAAAAAUUUCACCGCACGCCAGUACUCAGAAACUAGGUGAAAUUGGGUAAGUCCCACAGCAGCACACCCCCACCUUCAAACUUUUCAGUUCUAAUUGAUGCACUUUUAAGUAUGUGUGUGUUUUUAGCAUAUAUCAUGAGUGUGGCUGCACAGAAAUAUUUUAAUGGCACACAAGACAUGGUGUUAGUCAUGCACUUAGCACUUCUGCUUUUUAAAUAAAUAGCAGCUGAGGUGGGGAGGAGGAAGUGACCAGCAUGAGAGGAAGGCAACUUUAACCCUUCCCACCACAUCACAGUCCCAAUCUCCCCUUUGCAUCUCCCCCUUGGCUGCUGUUUGCGUUGGCAGGAAACUUUGCACUGGUGCCAAUGGGAGCUUUUGCUCCCAGCUGAUACUAGACCUAAUUAAGCCUGUAGGUUUGAGGUUCCUCAUCCUUAAAUCUUAAUCAACUUCUCAUGGAUAAGACAACGUUACCUUGUAUUUGCAUAGUGACAAUCAUUUAGUAUGUCUUUGAGGCUGGUGAUUUGUUGGUUUGUUGGUUUUUUACUAUCACAUUUUGCUCAAAAUAGGUAUGCCUUAGAAAGAACAAAUUCUUUCUAUGCUUUAGAAAGAAUGCAGCUACAUUCUCAGACAGUGCAA